ensembl:lncRNA
GGCUUUCCAUACAUGUGAACGUGUUAAUUUGUGCACAUGUGCGUUUUUGUUAGUUUUUAACCAUUGAAUGAUUUGUACAUAUUAACAUCUGUCAUGUUGAAUGUGUUUCCGUGGUGAUUGUUUUUAGGUUUGUCGGCCAUUUUUGUGACAGACAACAAGGUUUGAAUUGAACCGAUGCACUUUGUCCGAAAGUACUACAGCAUUUAAAUCUGACAAACAGUGAGUAGAUGAAUGAAUGAAUGAAGGUGAGAGACACGUGAACUAUCUGAAUGACCCCUGUGCAGAAGUGAGAAACCAAACAAAUAAGCGACUACAACUGAUACUUCCAGGACUUCUUCAGUAUACAUUUGAUUGGACUUGCAAAAACGUCACCAAGCUUCAUCAGUGAUUUUUCUCAUGUGUACAUAUGACUUUUUUGUUCCAGUGUUAAUGCAGUCAUAUCAGGUCAUCCAGUUUCUGCUUUAAAGCUGUGAAGACCACAGGUAAUAGUUUUUAAUCGCCGGAUAAUAAUUUGUGACAGUCAAGUCUAACAAUUAUGAACGAGUUGCAACACACUGCAAGAUAUGACUUCCAGUUAGCUUCACAUAUGAGAAGCUUGAAUGUUCCACUGAUUGUUUCAGCAUUCAAACUUACCCCACCAUAACCCUCAGGCCAUUAUUGUCAGACAGCGAAAUCAUGUUGAGUGCGAUAAACUUCCAACAGGAAUACGAUUAAAGUUUUGCUAACAUUUAUGUUGCGGAGCAUUUAGAAUGGUAAGCAUUUCAUGCAAACCCUUAACUAGAUGUGAUGCUUUAAAUGUGACAGCUGCACUUUGGUUUGGCUCAAGGCCCGUUUGGAGCGUGCCGUCCCUUUAAAGCUGCUGAGUGAUGCAGCAGUUUGCAAGAGAAAACACACCAGACUCCAAAUAUAUGCAUAAAACUGUGUAUUCUAAUGGACACUGUGCUGUAACUCUGAAUAUAAUGCAAAAGUACUAAAUAACAAUUGAGCUUUGACACUAUAUUAAAUCUGCAGUAAGUUUUAUGUACAAACGGUUUGUUUUUUAAUAACACUGUGAGCGUGGUGCUGUUCACUACCCAGCAAAAACCAUAUGUUCUCCACAUUCCUGUUUUUGUCCUGUGGAAACUUUGUAUCCAGCAACCAUGUAAAGAUACUUUCCAGCGGUUUAAACUUUUUAUUUAAAAUCAGAAAGAAAUGCAAGAACAGCAGGUACAAGGUGCUUUAGCAGGAUGUUAACAUGUAAAUCUGUGUUUCUACCAUGUUGUAACCAAUUGCAGUACUUCUCUUUUCAUAUUGUUGUGCACAUCUUUUUACUUUGAAUGUCUUUGGACACUUUGUGAACAAAAUGCUUUUUUUCUUCUCUCAGAAUAUUGUUCUAAUAAAAUAAGCAGCAUUGAAAAGAAGUGGAGUUGUUUCAGUGGAAGUUUCUGGAAGAUUUCAGAACAAUGACAGUGCACACAUUCAAUGGUUACACACUCA